GCCGCUAGCUCAAUUGGCAGAGCAGCUGACUCUUAAUCAGUAGGUUCCCGGUUCGAGUCCGGGGAGAGCA
rnacentral:tRNA from 1 species